CUGAACUUAAGCAUAUCAAUAAGCGGAGGAAAAGAAACUAACAAGGAUUCCCCUAGUAACGGCGAGUGAAGCGGGAAGAGCUCAAAUUUAAAAUCUGGCAGUGUAUU
rnacentral:rRNA from 1 species